rnacentral:rRNA from 1 species
UACGUAGGGGGCUAGCGUUGUCCGGAAUCAUUGGGCGUAAAGCGCGUGUAGGCGGUUCGGUAAGUCCGCUGUGAAAGUCGGGGGCUCAACCCUCGAAAGCCGGUGGAUACUGUCGGGCUAGAGUACGGAAGAGGCGAGUGGAAUUCCUGGUGUAGCGGUGAAAUGCGCAGAUAUCAGGAGGAACACCAAUUGCGAAGGCAGCUCGCUGGGACGUUACCGACGCUGAGACGCGAAAGCGUGGGGAGCAAACAGG